rnacentral:rRNA from 1 species
GACGAACGCUGGCGGCGUGCUUAACACAUGCAAGUCGAGCGAGAGCCAGUUGAGGGGUAACCCUCGGCUGGGGACAGCGGCGAACGGGUGCGUAACACGUGGGCAACCUGCCCCUGACACUGGGAUAACCCCGGGAAACCGGAGCUAAUACCGGAUACUCUCGGCCGAUCACAUGGCUGGCCGAGGAAAGGUCCGCCGGUCAGGGAUGGGCCCGCGGCCUAUCAGCUUGUUGGUGGGGUAACGGCCCACCAAGGCGACGACGGGUAGCUGGUCUGAGAGGACGACCAGCCACACUGGAACUGAGAUACGGUCCAGACUCCUACGGGAGGCAGCAGUGGGGAAUAUUGCACAAUGGGCGAAAGCCUGAUGCAGCGACGCCGCGUGAGGGAUGAAGGCCUUC